AAGACCCUGUUGAGCUUGACUCUAAUCUGACUUUGUGAAAUGACUUAGGAGGUGUAGGAUAUGUGGGAGCUCUGGUGAUCUUGAAAUACCACUACUCUUAAUGUCACUUUACUUACUCUAUCAGACUGUGGCCUGCUUCCCAGCAGGUUUUUGUUUCAAGGCAUCUCAUCUGACUUGUUGACUUGCGUAGAGGACGUAGUCAGGUGGGCAGUUUGGCUGGGGCGGCACAUCUG
rnacentral:rRNA from 1 species